GGCGACUCAGGAUGCGAAUGCGGGAGUAGUAAUUGUCAUGUAGUUAGAUGAAUUCGGGUUGCGUAGCUUACUACGGUUGCAGCAGGGCAACUCAGGAUGCGAAUGUGGUAGUAGUGGAGCUUCGAAGUGUGACAAUAUUGAAGAUUACUCGAUGGAUUACUAUUCCCAGGACAGUGGGGAGUGGAACUCUUCUUAUGUGAAGAAGCCGUCCCGGCCUGUGCGUAGGAUUCUUGUGCCUUCUGUAGGCAGCAGAAGCAUAGCUUAGCAUUGGCUUUAGAUUCUCUGAAAUAGUGGUGGAGUCAUCUGCACGGUGCCUUAUCCCAAAUGACGAAUGCCGCUUCAUCAGCAGCUCCGGUGCGCUAGUAUUUUGGUUGAUUGAGCAUACUAGGUUCAAAGAAGACAUCUAGCGGAAUGUCAAACCUGCUGUUUGAUGUUCUUCCGGGUAGGAGCAAUGAUGCAAUUCCUGGUCAUAAAUGCGGUGAGUAGCUAACAGUGAGUUUGAUUGCGGCAGUUCAUUUGUUAAAUUUACUUGUAUGUAAAGUUCGAAAAAUUACCUGACUGUAGUGGCUGCGAAGAUGGUACGACCAUUUUUCUUCGAGGCCUGAGUCUUUGUAACUUAAGUUAUAUGUAGAAACGCCUUCCAGGGCCGCCUCCAUGACUGUAU